rnacentral:tRNA from 1 species
GGCUCUGUGGCGCAAUGGAUAGCGCAUUGGACUUAUAGUGUAUUGAAGGCAUUCAAAGGUUGUGGGUUCGAGUCCCACCAGAGUCG